rnacentral:rRNA from 1 species
UACGAGGGGGGCGAGCGUUGUUCGGAAUUAUUGGGCGUAAAGGGCGCGUAGGCGGUGCGGUAAGUCACCUGUGAAACCUCUGGGCUUAACUCAGAGCCUGCAGGCGAAACUGCCGUGCUGGAGUGUGGGAGAGGUGCGUGGAAUUCCCGGUGUAGCGGUGAAAUGCGUAGAUAUCAAGAGGAACACCUGCGGCGAAGGCGGGUUGCUGGGCCGACACUGACGCUGAGGCGCGAAAGCCAGGGGAGCGAACGGG